rnacentral:rRNA from 1 species
GACGAGUCGAGUUGUUUGGGAAUGCAGCUCAAAAUGGGUGGUAAAUUUCACCUAGGGCUAAAUAGCUGCCAUAGACCGAUAGCGCGCAAGUAGAGUAUCGAAAGAUGAAAAACACUUGAAAGAGAGUUAACAGCACGGAAAUGGUGAAAGGGAAGCGCAUACAACCAGACUUCCUGCAGUAUUCAGCCUCUGAAAAAGUGGUGUAUUUGUUGCCCAGCAGGCCAACAUCAGUUUCGGCCUCUAGAUAAAGACUCUGAAAAGUAGCUCUGUUCUCGGAGUGUGAUAGUCUUGAGUAAAAUAUAGCUCGCUGAGACUGAGGACCGCGCUUCGGCUUGGAUGUUGGCGUAAUGGUUGUCAGCGACCCGUCUUGACACACGGACCAAGGAGUCGACCUAAAUAGCGAGAAUUUGGGCAUCAAACCCCUAUUCGUAAUGAAAGUGAACGUUGGUGGGAGCUUCGGCGCACCAUCGACCGAUCCAAGUUCGCGAGGAUUUGAGUAUGAGUUAUUUGGGUCCAACCCGAAAGGUAAAGACCCUCUCUCUGUUUCCUUUGCCCAGUGUCCCAACGAAAUGAUAAUCAAGCGAGAGAAUUUUGAUUUCAAAAUGUGCGAGAUGUUACAGUGUCGAUGAGGUAUCUUGUUAGGAAUUUCCUAUUCAAGAUGUAUAAAUUUGAUCAAAAAUCCCACUUGAUGAUUAUUUCAUUUCGUUGCAUACCCAAUUCAAAUAUCUGAAAUGAAUUUAGCUAAUUUGUGUGUAGAAGGUGAACUAUUCCUGACUAGGCUGAAGUCAGAGGAAACUCUGAUGGAAGGUCGCAGCGGUUCUGACGUGCAAAUCGAUCGUCAAAGCUGGGAAUAGGGGCGAAAGACUAAUCGAACCUUGUAGUAGCUGGUUCCUGUCGAAGUUUCCCUCAGGAUAGCAGUAACGAAAUACAGUCUCAUGAGGUAGAGCAACGAUUAGAGGUCUGGGGGCAGUACCUCCCUUCACCUAUUCUCGAACUCCGAAUAUGUGAGAAGUCCUUGUUACUUUAUUGAACGGGCACAUUGGAUGUGCGUAGUAGUCC